rnacentral:rRNA from 1 species
UUAUAAAAAUAAACUAUAUCGGCUAAUAAAAACAAUAGUUUUAAAUCCAAAGAACUUGGCAGUGUUUUAUAUAAUCAGGGGAGCCUGUUUCUUAAUAUGAUAAUCCACAAAUAUCUUACUAUACCUUGAAAAUCAGUCUGUAUACUGCCGCAAUGCUUAAUUAUAAUAAAUAAACAAUAAACUUUUCUAAGUAAAAUAACAGGUCAAAGUGCAACUAAUGGUAUAUGUGAAUAAUGGGCUACAUUUAUCUCACAUAAAUAAUAAGGGAACCAAUAUAAAGAACUUGACAGUAAUAAAUCUUUACUAUAGCUUUAUCAAAUAAUAAUAAUACAUGCACAUAUCGCCCGUCACUCUUAUUGAAAAAUA